AUCGCUUCUCGGCCUAAUGGCUAAGAUCAAGUGUAGUAUCUGUUCUUAUUUCGGCUCCGGACCAUCUCACAAUUGGUUACGGUGUUGUUAGAAAGCAGAAACAGCACAAGAUCGAAACCGUGACAGUCGAUAGAGGUUCUUGGCAUUCGCUUUUUCAGUGUCUCCUUCUACGUCCGGAAAUUUCAAGGCGAUCCGUC
rnacentral:snRNA from 1 species